rnacentral:rRNA from 1 species
AAUGAAGAGUUAAGUCCCGAAACGAGGGCAACCCCUGCCGCCAGUUGCCAGCAUUGAGUUGGGGACUCUGGCGGGAAUACAUUUGCAAGGAGGAGGAAGGCGGGGAUGACGUCAAAUCAUUAUGCCCCUUAUGACCUGGGCUACACACGUGCUACAAUGGACGGAUCAGAGGGAAGCGAACCCGCGAGGGGGGGCGGAACCCAUAAACCCGUUCUCAGUUCGGACUGCAGCCUGCAACCCGGCUGCACGAAGCUGGAAUCGCUAGUAAUCGCGGAUCAGCAUGCCGCGGUGAAUACGUUCCCGGGCCUUGUACACACCGCCCGUCACACCAUGAGAGUCAGCAACGCCCGAAGCCGGCGGCCCAACCAGCAAUGGAGGGAGCUGUCUAAGGCGGGGCCGAUGAUUGGGGUGAAGUCGUAACAAGGUAGCCGUA